AGUGGCGGACGGGUGAGUAACACGUAAGAAUUUGCCUUUAGGAGGGGGACAACAACUGGAAACGGUUGCUAAUACCCCAUAUGCUUUCGAGUGAAAUGGAUUUUUCCGCCUAAAGAGAGGCUUGCGGCUGAUUAGCUUGUUGGUGAGGUAAUGGCUCACCAAGGCGACGAUCAGUAUCUGGUUUGAGAGGAUGAUCAGACACACUGGAACUGAGACACGGUCCAGACUCCUACGGGAGGCAGCAGUGGGGAAUUUUCCGCAAUGGGCGAAAGCCUGACGGAGCAAUCUCGCGUGAGGGAUGACGGCCUAUGGGUUGUAAACCUCUUUUUUCAGGGAGGAACAAAAUGACGUGUACCUGAAGAAUAAGCAUCGGCUAACUCCGUGCCAGCAGCCGCGGUAAGACGGAGGAUGCAAGUGUUAUCCGGAAUCACUGGGCGUAAAGCGUCUGUAGGUGGUUUAAUAAGUCAACUGUUAAAUCUUGAAGCUCAACUUCAAAAUCGCAGUCGAAACUAUUAGACUAGAGUAUAGUAGGGGUAAAGGGAAUUUCCAGUGGAGCGGUGAAAUGCGUAGAUAUUGGAAAGAGCACCGAUGGCGAAGGCACUUUACUGGGCUAUUACUGACACUCAGAGACGAAAGCUAGGGUAGCAAAUGGGAUUAGAUACCCCAGUAGUCCUAGCCGUAAACAAUGGAUACUAGAUGU
rnacentral:rRNA from 1 species